rnacentral:rRNA from 1 species
CACGUAGGGCGCGAGCGUUGUCCGGAAUUAUUGGGCGUAAAGAGCGUGUAGGCGGCCAGGUAGGUCUGCUGUGAAAACUCGAGGCUCAACCUCGAGACGUCGGCGGAAACCAUCUGGCUAGAGUCCGGAAGAGGAGAGUGGAAUUCCUGGUGUAGCGGUGAAAUGCGCAGAUAUCAGGAGGAACACCGAUGGCGAAGGCAGGUCUCUGGGCCACUACUGACGCUGAGAAGCGAAAGCAUGGGGAGCGAACAGG